AAAAAUUUAAAAAUUCAAACAGAAAUCAUGUUCGGUAAAAAAUUUUACUUUUUGUUUUUAAAAUUUAAAAUUAAAAAGGAGUAAAUUUUAAAAAUAGAUUUUUGAUGAAUUUAAAAAAUUUUAAAAACACUUUUUCAGUUUUCAAUUUUGCUUCUCUCUCUCUCUCUCUCCUCUCUCUUUCUCGUUAGUCUUCCAUCUGAGCCUCGAUGAGUCUUCCAUGGCUUCACCUAUUCCAGAUUUGAAAAUGAAAAAAAUGAGAAAAGCAUGACAAUGAGAGUGGUUUUUAAAGAGAAAGAUCUUUUGCUAUUACAGGUAUGAUUUCUCUUGUAUUUUAUUUUAUUUUUUUGAUUUUAGGGUUUUUAUUUGAAAAAAAUUGUUCUUAGCUUUUAUUAGGUUUUUAGAUUUAAUCUUUCAAAUUGGUUUUGGGUUUAAUAUUUGAGAUUUUGUAGCUUAAUUUUAGAAAAAAAUUAGUGGGUUUUGAGUAUGUGAGUGAUUUUUGUCAUUGUUUAAUUAAAUUUAGUUUUGUGUAGUAUUUUAUUGCUACUGUCAUUUUUGGUUCUGGAUAUAAGAAAAUUCUUGCAUUAUUAUGCUUGCUGAACAUGAAUUCAAAAGACAUUUGAGUAGUAGGAAGGAAAAGUUUGAAAAAAAGGGUCUCUAUAAAUGAGUUCUUAAGUCAACACAAUUAAUUUGAAUUAUAAUUGGUUUAUUAACUAUUAAUUAAGAGAAGCUGAUGUUGGUUAUUGUUUCUUCUGGUUUACUCUCACCCUUGUCUCUUUUUCCAUAAAAAUUCUUGCCAAGGAUUUGAUGAGUUUGAGUGCAAUAAUUGUUUGAGAAGUAUUAUUAUCAAUGAGGUGUGUUAAGAUGUUUAGAAGGCAUUUACUUAUUAGCCACCUUAUCUUGAGUGUGCAAUUACUUUGUAUGAAGCAGGCAUCAAUGGUGAUCAUUGGUGAGGUGUUCUCUAAUUUCUUAAAUAUUUCAAUAAGUGUCAUCACGGUACCAUAUAUAGUUUAGGAAAAAUAUAAUAAGUGUAGCUAUUUUAGUUUGGUAUUUGAUGACUUAGUAAUCAAUGGCAACCAUAUGAUGAUUCUAUAUGGAUUAACUUCAAUGUUGAACAGAACACCACUUCCUUGGCCCUCUCCUUUCUUGUUGAACAGAACACCACUUUUCCCCGCUGGAGGAUUAUUUUCUAUAAUAUGUAUAUAUAUUUCUUUCACUAGAUGUAGAAAAAGUUUAAGGACAUGCAACUCAAAUUAUAAUUCAAGGAUAAAAAAUUGUAUGUAUUAUUUCUUUUCAUUUGUUGUUUUCUUGGUUUGUUAGAAAGAAAAUUAAACCGACCCUUUGUUUUCUAGUGAAAAACAUAGGAAUUAUAAUUAUAGGAUUAAAAUAAAUUGAAAAAGUGGUGAGUGUAUGUCUAUAUGACAUUAAGUAUAAAUUGACAUAUGCUACAAAUAUUUAAUAUUUAUCUAGCUAUGAUAUUUGAGAGGAAGAAUUAUGUUCAGAUAAAUGAUAUUCUAUAGCAACAACUUUAACCCCAGAUGAGGAACUAAGGCAAUUAUGUUCUUGGUUGAUUGAAUUUGCACCUUUAUGUACUGACUUUAAUUCCCUAGUGGAAGAACUACUGAUGUUAUCAAAUUCAGAUAUCAUUAGUUCCUGGACAGACUUCUCUCUCUCAGCAAUGUAGUAGUAUCAUUUGGUAUGCUAUGAUAUUGUGAUGAUGUGCAACAAUUUUACCAACUUUUCUUGGAGAAGGCUCAUAUGGCGGUUGUUGCUCUAAAUCUUUUCCUAAUGAAUCAAGAUAAAAGAGAUCAAGACCAAGGUUUAAGCUCACCUUGCUAGCUGAUUUGUUAAAACUUACAGACUUGGAUCUGCCUCCGUUUUAUAUACACUGAAAAUUUUUCUUUUUUGCUUAUUUUGAUCUGUUCUGUACUUCUUGAAAGCCCAUAUGAGACCAACAACACCAAAUUUGAGUAUAUAUAAACUAGUUUGAAUAAAUAUUUUUGGUUUACUUGGUUAAA